rnacentral:rRNA from 1 species
UACAUAGGGGGCGAGCGUUAUCCGGAUUUACUGGGCGUAAAGGGUGCGUAGGCGGUUAAUUAAGUUUCUGGUGUAAGUGCAGUGCUUAACGCUGUGAUGCUAGGAAAACUGGUUAACUAGAGUGAGACAGAGGCAAGUGGAAUUCCAUGUGUAGCGGUAAAAUGCGUAAAUAUAUGGAGGAACACCAGUGGCGAAGGCGGCUUGCUGGGUCUAUACUGACGCUGAGGCACGAAAGCGUGGGGAGCAAACAGG